UCUUGGUCAUUUAGAGGAAGUAAAAGUCGUAACAAGGUUUCCGUAGGUGAACCUGCGGAAGGAUCAUUAUUGAAAUUAUAGGCGAGGGUUGUAGCUGGCCUCACGGGGCAUGUGCACGUCCGAUCCAUUAAUCCACACACACCUGUGAACGUAUUGUGAGGGCCCGUGAAAAAGGCCCCCACGUCUUUAUAUCAUAUAACCCUGUCUUACAGAAUGUAAAAUGUAUGUGUUCGGACAAAGAAACUCAUACAACUUUCAACAACGGAUCUCUUGGCUCUCGCAUCGAUGAAGAACGCAGCGAAAUGCGAUAAGUAAUGUGAAUUGCAGAUUUCCAAUGAAUCAUCGAAUCUUUGAACGCACCUUGCGCCCCUUGGUAUUCCGAGGGGCAUGCCUGUUUGAGAGUCAUUAAACCAUCAACCUCUGGUUUUUCGAGCCUUGGGGAUUGGAGUUGGAGUGUGCUGGUCGAAACCCCCAUCGGCUCCUCUCAAAUGCAUAAGCGGGAACCCCUUUACUUCCGAAGUCGGUGUGAUAAGGAUUUGUUACGCUGGCGCCUCUACAUGGAAGGCCGCUCACAAUCGUCUCAGACAACGUCUUUCAAGCUUGACCUCAAAUCAGGUAUGACUACCCGCUGAACUUAAGCAUAUCGAUAAGCGGAGGA
rnacentral:rRNA from 1 species